ACGGAAGGCAGCAGUGGGGAAUCUUCCGCAAUGGGCGAAAGUCUGACGGAGCGACGCCGCGUGGAUGAUGAAGGUCGGAAGAUUGUAAAAUCCUUUUAAGCAUGAAGAAUAAGCAGGGAAGGUAAUGGCCUUGCGGUGACGGUAGUGCUUGAAUAAGCAACGGCUAAUUACGUGCCAGCAGCCGCGGUAAUACGUAAGUUGCGAGCGUUGUUCGGAAUUAUUGGGCGUAAAGGGCAUGUAGGCGGAUAUGCAAGCUUGGUGUGAAAGGCGGGAGCUCAACUCCCGGACUGCGUUGAGAACUGCAUAACUAGAGUGACUGAGGGGCAGGCAGAAUUCCAGGUGUAGGGGUGAAAUCUGUAGAUAUCUGGAAGAAUACCAAUGGCGAAGGCAGCCUGCCAGAAGAUGACUGACGCUGAGGUGCGAAGGUGAGGGGAGCAAACAGGAUUAAGAUACCCUGGUA
rnacentral:rRNA from 1 species